AUUGAACGCUGGCGGCAUGCCUUACACAUGCAAGUCGAACGGCAGCACGGGUGCUUGCACCUGGUGGCGCGUGGCGCACGGGUGAGUAAUCCAUCGGAACAUGUCCUGUAGGGGGGGAUAGCCCGGCGAAAGCCGGAUUAAUACCGCAUACGAUGUGCGAGUAAAAGGGGGGGACCUUCGGGCCUCGCUCUAUAGGGUUGGCCGAUGGCUGAUUAGCUAGUUGGUGGGGUAAAGGCCUACCAAGGCGACGAUCAGUAGCUGGUCUGAGAGGACGACCAGCCACACUGGGACUGAGACACGGCCCAGACUCCUACGGGAGGCAGCAGUGGGGAAUUUUGGACAAUGGGCGAAAGCCUGAUCCAGCAAUGCCGCGUGUGUGAAGAAGGCCUUCGGGUUGUAAAGCACUUUUGUCCGGAAAGAAAUCCUUGGCCCUAAUACGGUCGGGGGAUGACGGUACCGGAAGAAUAAGCACCGGCUAACUACGUG
rnacentral:rRNA from 1 species